ACCAGGAGCGCGGGCCGGAGGGCCCGGGUUUCGGGCAGUUGGGCGAGCCAGGAGAAAGUUGUUAAAAGUGAGUCCCUUAGAAGCACUACCAAACAAAAAAAAAAAAGAGAGAGAAGGAAAAACUUACAGAUGAGCGAAGCGGCCCAGGAAGCCGUAGGAAAACUCACAGCACAAAGACGGAUAGAAGGCACAGCCCAGAAAUUGGGAAGGCUCCAGAACAAGAGCCAUUGGGGCGGGGGCGCCCCUCUGACAUCCACACUGCAGGUGGACAGAGGAGGCCUCUCAAGCGUGCGUGAGGAGUCGGACCUGGAAACCUGUCUUCCUGGCAGAAGCCCCGGAUCCCCCAGGUCACUUUGGGGCUGCCAUGGACUUUUCUCCUUUUCCUGCUCGGAGGUGGAGAGAAGGGGGUAUACCUCAAACUUUGAGCCAUUUCCUUCACUCCCAGGCCACCAGCGGAGCCUCCAGGUGCAGCCUCAACCAUUUCAAAUUCCAUCCUCCUGGCCUUGCCCCCAAGGAGAACACACAGCUCCGCCCACAUCAGAUAAGGACUCCCUACUGUUGCCCUGUCCGCAAGGAGCUGACAGAUUCUACCAGAGUUGGAGAGGCAGGAAAAGGUCACUAAGAGACGACCUCUGUAAACUUCACUCAAUCAUAAAUACCAAGCCAAGGGGGCAGGAGGACCUAGAAGACAACAAAUAAUGUGUGGUUUGAAGGACAGUGGGGGGCAGAGCAGAGGCCUGGCCGGGAGGGUGAAUCAGAUUUGGAAUAUGGGGUAAAUAGGAAAUCAGUGAUGUCAGGCUGAGAAGGGAGGAAAUCCCUGCCAGUGACCUCUCCAGGCACAAGGAAGCUUGAGGGUGCAGUGGAAGAUGCCCACGGACACCAUCCACAGCACUGAAGACCACUUGCAGGGCAAGACAGACCCCAAAGCAGAAAAGACCUUGAGAUCUAGGACAAGAGGUCAAGAAAAACACCAGGGCCGCCUUCGAGGACUCCCAGGUCACAUCUGUCCUUGACCUUCCAAAGUGACCCAGGAGAGCUGCUGGGAUGGGUCCUUUGAUUGAGAUAAAGAUAGGAAGCCUAAAAUAGCAGGGUCAUGAGAAACAAGCCAGGAUCUUGGAAAUGUUAUAAAGGUGAUUGCGAUGCCAGUCAAGCGGAGAAACCACCAGUGGCACUGGCUGCCCUGUUCCGAGUGAGGAAGCUGAGGGCACCCAGAGGGUCAGAGCCAGUCAUGAAGAUGGUGUGCGGGACGAGGGCAGGCAGGAGCCGCCCUGGCAAGGGCCCUCUGUGCCAUAUCUGAGUUGCCGUCCAAACUGCAUCGAGCUCCAAACAUACCGGAGACCGAGCUGUUUUGUCCCUGUUUGUGUUUAAUCCAUCUGAGUUGGAAGCGAGAAGUUGAAAUAUUUACACUGCCCGCCAUUCACCGACUAAAGAAGAAUGGGGGAGAGUCAGAUGGCACCUGUGAAGAGUGGUUAUUAAAGAAUGGCAAGUCAGAAGGGUGGUGAGAUUCCCACACACGCCCAGACACCCGGGCGCAGCCUGCAGGCUCAGGAGAGUGUAAAAUCAGAAGUG